CUUGUUUACGCGUAUUGCA
rnacentral:snRNA from 1 species